CACCCCCCGCGGACGAUUCCCACCACCCACCCCGCGUCGCCCCCCCUCACCCCCGGCGAACUCCCCACCUCCUCCCCCAACCACCGGGGGCUGCCCGGAUCCGCCACCACCAUGCGGCAGCCAGCUCCUCCGCCAGGGAUCCGCUGGGGACGGCGGAGGCCUGAUCCCCUCCAGCCACCAACCACCUCCUGCUUUGCCAUCCAAUGUGGCGGCCGCCGGCGACCUUCCAUCCGCACUGGCACUGCCCCCCCCCCCCCCCCCCCCCCCCCCCCGCCUGGAUCCGGCCCUGCACAGCCCCCUCACCUGGAUCUGACCCCCUGCGCCACCCCACGCCUAGGUCUGGCCGGCAGGUCACGCCCGCGCCUGGUUCAGGCCGCCGUGCUGCACCUACGCCUGGUUUCGGCCGCCGCGCUGCAUCCCCUGACCACCUCUGCCCCGCCCCAACCUUCCCUGCGGCGUGACAUUUCCUCUGCUCCGGCACGACCUUCCCUCUAGUCCGCCGCGGCCUUCCCUGAACUCCGGUGUGGCCUGCCCUCUACUCCAUCGUGCCCUCCUGCUCCUCCUCCACAGCCCCAUCCUCACCCUCCCUCCCCCGAACAACUUCCUCCUGCCUAUUUAGUAGUGUUGUUACAAUAACCAGCAGCCACUAGUCAGAUCGACCCUCCAAUAACCAACAUAUGCCUCGGCGCGUUCCUCGGCGUGCUCUUUGGGUCCGUGGAGAUCGGCCUCGGAGUCACGCUUGCCAUAUCCUUUGCAAAGAUCAUCAUCCAGUCACUCCGGCCUCAGGUGAAGGGUCUGGGCAGGCUACAAGGAACAAACAUAUUCUGCAGCGUCAGGCAGUACCCCGUAGCAUGCCGGACACCGGCCGUGCAAGUCAUACGCAUCGAUACGUCCUUCCUCUACUUCAUCAAUGCGACUUUCAUCAAAGAGAGGAUCAUGGAGUGGCUAAGGGCAGAAGUGGACACAUCCAAUGAGAAGGUCGGGGAAAGGGUGCACUCAGUUUUCCUUGACAUGUCAAAUGUGGUGAACAUUGACACUUCAGAACUGGUGGGAUUGGAAAAAAUUCACAAGGAGAUGGCGUCCCUCGGCAUACAAGUGAAGUGAUUUACUAACGAGCAGGCAAUUGCCAAACUGCACACGUUGUGUAAAAAUAUUAGUGGUCAAAAUAUCUCACUCUUGUGUAAAAAUAUUAUCUACAGAUGGCUAUUGCUAGUCUAGGAUGGCAGGCAAUUCAGAAGAUGAAGCUGGCACACGUUGUUGACAGGAUAGGAGAAGAUUUGAUUUUCCUGACAGUAGGUGAAGCAGUGGAAGGAUGCCUAACUGCACACAAGGGCAGUGCUAUCGAGUGUUGAGUGUAUGCUAGUAGAAAUAACACCAUUUGUUGUGGAUUUGUAUCUAGUGAGCAUGGUUUACAUAGCUCCGCAAAUGCUUACAAAUAGUAACAGACGCAACAAUGACAAAACAUGUAUGUGUUCUGUAGAAAUCAAGCGCAUUAACUAGAGUGGUA